rnacentral:lncRNA from 1 species
UUUUUUGAUGGUGUGGGUGAGCUCCCGCCAGUAUCUUUAGCAGUGACUUCUACAGAUUGAAGCUGAGCAUGGUGCUGCUGCCAGUCAAGUUCUAACAGAAGGCUGCAUCCACUGCAUCAUGGGGUGAUGCAGAGGUGUGCAGAGAUUAGGGGCACUACUCCCACACUCCAGGAAACAGUAGGAAUCAAAAGAAAUCCUGCUAGAAAUCCUGUUAAGUGAGCCCACAUCCGGGCCUUACAAAUUACGCAAAAGUUGUAAGCUUUAGAAUGGGAUGCUUCAUUAUCUCCAGUUAUCCAUCAUACACAAGAGAAGGUGGAUAAAUCACUAUAUAUAUGCAUGUACUUGUCAAAGGAAGAGAUAUAUGGCAAAUGUGUUCCACAAUCAGUUGUCUUCACCUGAAUCUGAAACACUGGGAAGAGUGGACCCUGCUGUGCAGUGGAAGAACAUUUGUUCCAGGUGCAAAACAUGAGAAAUGGCAGAAAUUAUAAUGAGACUGAUGCUGCACCCAUAAACAAGGACUUUUGUAUAUUUGGGGUACAUUGCUAAAACACAUUCAGUUUUGCUACCAGAUUUGUGGCAAAUCAGUAGAGAGGAAGAAACAAAGGCAUAGAAAGUAGCACAAAUGUAGAAUAUAAAUAAAAGGAAUUGAAGGACAAAGCCUUAAACUAAU